UACGGAGGGGGCUAGCGUUGUUCGGAAUUACUGGGCGUAAAGCGCACGUAGGCGGCUUUGUAAGUUAGAGGUGAAAGCCCGGGGCUCAACUCCGGAAUUGCCUUUAAGACUGCAUCGCUCGAAUUGUGGAGAGGUAAGUGGAAUUCCGAGUGUAGAGGUGAAAUUCGUAGAUAUUCGGAAGAACACCAGUGGCGAAGGCGACUUACUGGACACAUAUUGACGCUGAGGUGCGAAAAGCGUGGGGAGCAAACAGG
rnacentral:rRNA from 1 species